GGCAGGGGCAGCUUCAGUCAAAGAAAGUCACUGGGUAUGCAGCUAAGAUUUGCUGGCCCCUCUGCAACUCCUGUGGCCAGAACACAGCAGAAGGCCCUGCCACACCCAGACAGGGCUGCCCCAUGCCCAUGUGGAGUUCCCUGCAUGGAGUCCAAGGCAAAUACCCAAUUUCAGGGUCCAAAGCAGAAGGCUUAAGAAUGCCUUUGGGAAGAGGAUGCAGAGGGCGGAAGGGAGAGGAGCAGAGAGCGCCUCCAUUCAUUGGACAGAUCUCACUUGAAAGAACUGAGAAGUGUCUGUUUAGGCAUAAAAGCUAAAAACGGUGUCCAAGGAGCUUUUAAAAAAAAAAUCAUUUCUGCAGCUCAAACACAGCCAAGCUGACUUAU